CCGACCUUAGCUCAGCUGGAAGAGCAUCUGACUGUAAUUGGUAACUGCCAUCAGGAGGUCCCCAGUUCGAACCUGGGAGGUCGGA